UACGUAGGGUGCAAGCGUUGUCCGGAAUUAUUGGGCGUAAAGAGCUCGUAGGCGGUGUGUCGCGUCUGCUGUGAAAACUCAGGGCUCAACUCUGAGCUUGCAGUGGGUACGGGCACACUUGAGUGCUGUAGGGGAGACUGGAAUUCCUGGUGUGAGCGGUGAAAUGCGCAGGAUAUCAGGAGGAACACCGGUGGCGAAGGCGGG
rnacentral:rRNA from 1 species